ACCAUUUCCUUAUCCACAUUCAUUUGUUUCUGUUAUUUCUUGUGUUAAUGUGUGAGUGGCGUUCUGUUCUUGCUUCAAUGGCAGUUGUUGUUUUUUCUCUCUUCAAAUGCUUGACAGACUGUGGAAGUGUGUGUGUGUGUUUGAGCUUUCUUUGCAGCUACACACGGAGUGUGUAGUCUACUGUGUUCUUUCGCUGCGUUGGGGCAAGAAGCACAUUGAGUUGGCUUACGGGAUGGAUGGCUGGCUGGCUGGUCGAUGGCAUAAAGAAGAGAUGUCAAAAAACAUUCCAAGAAAUAUUUGAGUUUGAAUUGUUAGCAAAAUAUUUUAACAUAAAAUGAAGCCCCCGAUCGAAAUGAGGCAACGCAACACACAC